GGCCUCCUUUCUCCUUCCUGUCCUGUCUGUCGGGUUUGGCAGAUCUGGGCGCCCACCCCAGCGCGGCCCGAGCCUGGACAGACGAAUCCUUCUUUGUGACAAGGGCCCUCCUCCCUGGUGAAACCACCUGUCUUCCGGAUAUAUCGAUCUGGUCGUAGAGAAAUACUCGAGAGCACGGGAAAACCGUCACUCGGUAUCGUUGAGGAAGAAAGCAAGCUACAAAACCACGUGCGAUAGGAUCCUGUCUGAGAGGACAAAACCAACACGGCCCACACAUACCCAGGGGGUUCCAAACGACCGGAAGUAUACACAUCAAACUAUAGUUUGGAGUUACUGGAUUAUAGGAAAGGAUCACAGCCACCAGAGGGAAGAGAGUCAGUGGCCGGAUCCUGGCGUGACCUUGCUCCUAUGUGACCCAUGACAGUCACCCUGGAGGCCAGACACCUGGAAGUAAGAGGGAAGAGAGCCUGGCGGUGGAGCAUAUGGCGGUCCAUGUCUCGGCGGAGAGCAGGAGAGAGGGAGGUGGAGAAGGAGUCUGGAGGGGAAAUGGAGAAAACCAGCAGGUAGCUUGCCCACGGCCCCGGUGAGUGGUGAGUCCCCAUCCCUAAAAGUCUCUCCACAGCCCACGCUAGUGCAGAUUUCCCCAGGCUUCCCCUUAGGGCAGAGGCAGCCUCCGUGGAGGAUGACCCCUUAGAGAGGAGGGCUGGCAGGGGAGGGGCAGAGCCUGGGGACCUGAGCCUCCCACACGGUUAGGGUCUCCAGCCUCGAAAGGGCAGAUCUGAGCAACAGACAUGGCCUGCGGCGAUGUUUUAAUAUUUAGAGCCUGACUCAUCAAAUCCAGGUGGUAAUCACUUAGAUCCUUGGGCCACCAAGCAAGGAUCUAUGAAAGAGCACUUUGCUCUUAAUUAAGGCAUGACAAAACACUGAAGCAUUUUCCCUUUCCGCGAAUACAAUGCUUGGGCUGGUCUGACCACAUUCACCAGCACAGCAUUGCUUUUGUUCAGAUGCCAUGCCUUCUCCAGCUCGCACUCUGUUGUUCUUUUAGAUAUUGGGCAAUUCUGCAUAGAUGCUGAAUUAUAUCGAAAUGAUGACUGAGUACGCUAUUUUUAUUUUCGACAUGUUGUUUCUUUAAUUUACCCGUGGCGUUGAUUAGGACAGACUUAAAGGGGAUAAUGAUGCAUAAAAUGGACCAUAAAUUGAGUGCUAGGAGUUAGGAGCUGUGGCUUAGAGGAAAAUUUAUCUGUGAGUUUCAUUGAAUUGUGAAUUGAAGACUAGGCUAGGAGAGGAUUCAGUGAUAGGAAACUUCUGGAGGAAAUGGAGAACUCAAGGGUAACAUGUUCUCAGCUUGGAGUGUGUACUUUCUCGAGACCGUGUGGUGACUAGCAGAACUGUGGAGUGAAAGAGAACCCUAAGUACUUUAAAGCGGUAGGGUCUAAUGUAGCCUCCAUUAGCGUGACUAGAACUUUCUAAAUCCCUGUGCAUUUUCCCCACUCUCUUUAUGGUCCUCAAGCUAGUCACCCACUUUGUGGGGCUUGAUUCCUAGUGUGAACACAGCCCUGUGUGCCUGGUCUCACUCGUGACCAUGACAGGCUGUCCCUCACAUAAAUGGAGACCCACUUACUGCACGUUUACAUAGUCUACAGUUUUGUGUCAAGCUAACAAACUAUUCAAAUAUGCUCUGAGAAAUUGGGGUACCUGGGUGGCUCAGUCAUUUGAGCAUCCAAGUCUUGAUUUCGACUCAGGUCAUGAUCCGUGGGUUGUGGGCUCGAGCCUUGUGUCAGGCUCCAUGAUGACAGAGUAGAGCCUGCUUAAGAGUCUCUCUCUGCCCCUCUCCCCUGCCUGUGCACAUUCUCUCUCUUUCUCUAAAAUAAAAUUUAAAAACUAUGUUCUGAGAACGUACUUCAUUUGCCUAAUUGAUCAUUUUUACUUUAUUUUUAAUUUUAACUGCUUUAUUGAGAUAUAAUUUACAUAGCAUGACAUUCACCUCUAUCAAGAGUUUUAGCAUACUUAGGGAUGUACAUUUACUACCACAAUCUGAAUUGAGAACAUUUCCAUCACCCCUAAAGAGAAACCUACUGCCCAUUAGCAAUCACUCCCCAUUUCUACCCCAGCCCUAGGGAACCACUAAUCUACUUUUUUUCUCUACAAAGUUAUCUUUUUUGGAGAUUUCAUGCAAAUAAAAACAUACAGCCUGUGGUAUUUUGUGUCUGGCUUGCUUCACUGAGAAUUGUGGUUUUGAGGUUCUCCCACUUUUUAGCAUGUAUUAGUACAUCAUUCCUUUUUAUUGCCAAAUCCAUUCCAUUGUAUGGCUAUAUGACAUUUUGUUUUCCGUUUAGCUGUUCUUGGACACUUGGGUUGUUUCCACUCUUUGGCUAUUAUGAAUAAUGCUGGUAUGACCGUUGUGUACAAGUGUUUGUGUAGAUAUAUGUUUUCAUUUCAUUUCUUUCGGGUAGAUAGUGAGAAGUGGAAUUGCUAGUCACACGUAAGUCUGUAUUUCAUCUUUUGAAACACUGCUAAACUGUUUUCCAAAGUGGCUACACCAUUCCAUUCGACAUUCCCCCCAGCACUAUGUCAGGGCUCUAAUUCAUCCACAUCCUGGACAACACUUGUUCCUCCCUGUCUUUUUCAUCAUAACCACCAAGUAGGUAAGAGAUGGUAUCUCACUGUGGUUUUGUCAUGUUGACAGUGUGCAUUUUCCUAAUGACAAAUCACGUUGAGCAUCUUUACUUUCUUAAUAAAUUGUUUUAAUGUUUAUUUAUUUU